GGUUCCAAGUCCAGGAUGGCAAACCUCAAGGAUCAGCUAAUUGUGAGUCUUCUUAAGGAAGAACAGGUCCCACAGAAUAAAAUUACAGUUGUUGGGGUUGGUCCUGUUGGCAUGGUCUGUGCCAUCAGUAUCUUAAUGAAAGACUUGACAGAUGAACUUGCUCUUGUUGAUGUCAUGGAAGACAGACUGAAGGGAGAGAUGACGGAUCUCCAGCAUGGCAGCCUUUUCCUUAAAACACCAAAAAUUGUCUCUGGGAAAGACUAGAGUGUGACUGUGAACUCCAAGCUGGUUAUCAUCAGAGCUGGAGCAUGGCAACAGGAGGAGGAGAGCUGUCUCAAUUUGGUCUAGCGUAAUAUGAAAUCUUCAAGUUCAUCCUCCCUAAUGUUAUGAAGUACAGUCCAAAUUGCAAGUUGUUUGUUGUUUUGAAUCCAAUGGAUAUCCUGUUUUAUGUGGCUUGGAAGAUAAAUGGUUUUCCCAAAAACUGAGUUUUUGGAAGUAGUUGCAAUCUGGAUUCAGCCUGGUUCCAUUACCUGAGCAUUCAUCCACUGGGCUGUCACUGGUGGACCCUUGGGGAGCAUAGGGACUCGAGUGUGCCUCUGUGGAGUGGCAUGAAUGUUGCUGGUAUCUCCCUGAAGAAUCUGAACCCAGAAUUGGGCACUGAUGCAGAUAAGGAGUAGUGGAAGGAGGUUCACAAACAGGUGGCUGACAGUGCCUUUGAGGUGAUCAAACUGAAAGGUUAUAUGUCCUGGGCCACUGGACUCUGUGGCAGAUCUUGCAGAGGUAUAAUUGAGAAUCUUAGGCAGGUGCAUCGAACUGCGGCCAUGAUUAAAGGUCUCUAAGGAAUAAAGGAUGCUGUCUACCUUAGUGUACCUGCAUCCUGGGACAGAAUGGGAUCUUAGACAUUGUGAAGAUGACUCUGAUCCCAGAACAAGAGGCCCGCCUGAGGAAGUGCACAGAUACCGUCUGGAGAAUUCAGAAAGAGCUGCAGCUUUAA